UACGUAGGGUGCAAGCGUUGUCCGGAAUUAUUGGGCGUAAAGAGCUCGUAGGCGGUCUGUCGCGUCGGAUGUGAAAAACUCGGGGCUCAACCCCCGAGCCUGCAUUCGAUACGGGCAGACUAGAGUUCGGUAGGGGAGACUGGAAUUCCUGGUGUAGCGGUGAAAUGCGCAGAUAUCAGGAGGAACACCGGUGGCGAAGGCGGGUCUCUGGGCCGAUACUGACGCUGAGGAGCGAAAGCGUGGGGAGCAAACAGG
rnacentral:rRNA from 1 species